GACAACAUCAAGGUGCCCUCACUCUAGAUCUCUACACCUGGAGAAGGGUUUUCAGGCCAAAGAGUUUUUUCCUACGACAUUAAAGCUGACCACGUUAUUCUUCAAAGGAACAGUUCCAAGAUUAGGAGAGCCUGCUGUACCCAUAGCCUUACCCAUCCCAGCCAAUGGAGGCACUGCCCUGGUGCCCAGCAGGCCUUCGGUAAUGAGGAAGCAUGGAUUUCUGUGCCUUGUAGGCUGUACAUUGAUGGGAACAACCCUGUUGAGGUUGAUAUGUAGAGAAAAGCUGAUGCUCGAGUAGGAAGAGGACAUUGCUGGAGCUGCACCCUUGAGAAGAGAAAGAAUAAGACGCAGUGCACAAAACUAAGCAAUGAGAAUGGCUGAGUGAGAACCUUAGAUGGAAUAAGAUCUUGAAUUGUUUCCUGGUGCAUAAAAAGCACCAAGGAUUUUGAAAGGGGAAUUUUCUGCUGACUGUAAUUUAAAAAAUAAUUCAGACUCUACCCCCACCCCCAGCUGUAUCUCGUUGCUUG